GGGAGACUUCAUGAACACUGUGCUAACAAGUUGCAGAACGAAUUCAAAACCCCGUCAGUUUUUGUGGGAGGGACCAAAGAUGGGAAAAGGAAGGGGUCAAAAUGACUUUUGAGCAAGUGUGGGAAAUUGAUUUAGGGGAUAAAAGGGGCUGGUCAUGUGCCAACAGGUUGCUGGUGUGUGUUCUUGUCUGUUAACUCCAUUUCUUACCCUCUCCUGGCAGAAGGGACUCCACUCUAUGUGCAUAUGUGCACAGAAGUCUAAGUGCCAGCGAUGGAAGAGUGAGGUGGUGUGUUGCUCUGUGAAUAGCAAGCUGGAUUUAGCCACCAAGUAGAACAAGGGGCCUGAGAGUCAGGCUACUCUGCUACUACUCAGGAAAGGAGUUCUGAGAGCUGUUCCAAUUCUGUGGUGUAUUCAGCCUUGCUGCCCGUCCUCCCUGAGCAAGCAAAAAGGCAAUUUAACAGCAAAAGCAUACAGCAGAACAUGAGGCAGCAGGGUAACAGCCUGGCUGGGGCUAGCUGCACUCACCAUUCAUGGGCAUCUCGUCUAUCUGGGUGGAGUAGUACUGCUCGAUGUCCCGC